UCGAACUACUUAUAAUAGCAAAGUAUAUCUAUUGUUUUUUUUGAGUUGGAAAAAUCCUUCAAAGUCAUUUACAAGUAAUUUUUACAAAUAGCAACACUGUAUAUAAUACACAAUAUAGCCAAAUUUACGACACAAAGAAAUGUUGUAGAUAGUGUUGCGAAAUAGAUAAACCAAAAUAUCUUAUUAUUUUUUAAAUAAAAUAUUAAUUUUGAAGGCUCGAUGAAAAAAAUCAUCAAGAACCUUUUGAUAUCUUCCACUGAAUCAAGACAAUUCAUGAUUUUAAUUUGAACUAAAUUAGACAUCAAAAAGAAAAGUUUAUGACAUGCGCAUUGCGUAAAGUCGAUUAAUAUUCAAUUAAAUAAAGCAAAUGGGAGAAUAUUAAAAAUCUUCUGUUAUGGAAAUUGGCUUUUUGGUCAAAAUGCUUUUUCGUGAACUUUGGAAAAUAUGGAAAAAGUACUGAUUGUAUAUAAAGAAACAACAAAGGUGACCAAAAAGGAAAGGAGAAAAAAACAAAAAUGUAUUAUCGAUUCUCAUAUUGAUAUAUAUCAUAUAUCGUAUUCAAAACUGUAUGACUCAAUGAAACUAAGGCAACUAUCUAUAAUAUCAUGCGCUAGCCCUAUGCUCCUCCUAGGAGUGAAGAAGAAAAAAAUAAAGCUUAUAUAGGUUAUACUUACUAACUGAGUAAGUCUGCUACACCGUAAAAAUCAUAACUAAUUACUCAUUCUUGUACUGAAUAAAACCAGGAAAAAAAUAUGUGAAAAUAACAGAUAUAGAAUAUGAAAUAAAUUGCGAUAAUAAAAUAAUAUACAAUAUGUUCUGCAAGUACAAAUUGACAAGUAGUAUAGACAAAUAUAUAUGCUACUAAAAAAUAAAUAUAAAGAAAAUAUCAAUUUAAUAUUCAAUGAUAAUAAAAUUGAAAGAGUAACGACAUAUAAAUACUUCAGUAUAACAUUAGAUAGCGAACUCACCUGAAAUCAUCACACUGAUGAAUUAAUGAAAACCUAAAGGAGAGUAGCAGGUAUUUUUCGCAAAAUAUCUGGCCUAAUUCCCGAAAAACAAAAAAGGGCGCUAUACUAUAAUUUAUUUCAUAGUCAUAUAGCUUAUGCCAUAUUAAUCUGGGGAAACACGAGUAGCAAAAAUUUGAAAAAAAUCUAAAACUUGCGAAAUAAACCUAUAAAAAACCUAUAUAGAUUCAAAUAAGAAUACCAACGAAUAGUAUAUACGCAAAUUAUAACAUUUUAAAUAAGCAACAAACAACAAAUACUAAAAACAAACCAGAUUCAACAUAUAGAUAAUAGACAAGGAGUAAUAAUGCAUCAUCACAACACAAGAACAACAAACGGCAUACGAACUGGCAAAACUGGGUCAAGUAAUGUUUUCAACAAUGCUGUUCGGGAGUUUAACAAUUUUACUAAAUGGCUCAGAUAUGCUGACACAAAUACAUUAAAAAGGAAUAUAAAUAAAUUAUUAGUUUGAACCAAGA